UGAGGUAUUUAAAGGAUUCGUGUUGAAGAUAAAAUUAAUUUCAAAAUAAAUUGAGUAAAUUUUAUCGACAAGAAAGUCAAUAUAGUGAGUGUAGUAGGUUUAAAAUAUUCGAGAAUGAAUUUUCAAGACGUCGUUCUCGGUUAGUACGCGAGCUUUACGGUGAUUCUAUUUCCAUCGUUGACCUUAUUGCUUACCAGAAAUAGUAUUUGCAAUCCAGAGUUUCUGAAGAAAGAGAGAGAGAGAGAGAGAGAGGGUGUGGAAUGUGCAGUAGAUUAAUCGAGAGGAUAUUUCCAUAGAAGAGGCAUUGAUUGGGUUACAAAGGUACGUCAGUGGUGAUUGAAAAUGGAUGAACGAUCAACGAUCAACGACGAACACAUUUCCAUUUCGUCCGGGUGUAUCUAGGUUAAUCAAACUCGCCAACGAUAUCAACGUCUAUCCAAUUCCCAUGCCCACGACGAUCACAAAUGUAUUUUCCAGCCGGCUUAAUUAAUUCGGAAGUGAACUGACGAGAGGACGAGGAAGUGGAGGCUGAAGAGCUGAAGGAUGCAGCGGCGGAGAAGGAGGAGGAGGAACAAAUGGUUAACGUUUUACUGGAGAGUUUAAACAAAAGACGCGUACAAGCAUAACUACUGAGUAUCAGAAUAUCAAAGUGUAAGAGCACACUGUGCUCGUUGACGCAAACAGUUGGAAAAAUUUUCAUCUACUUCUGCAUAAAUAUGUAUGAGUAUUUUAGCGCACAAUUGUGUGUAUUUAUACGACAGUUCCACAUUGCGGGCGUGACAAAGCUAUGACUCUUUGCGAUUAUAAAAAAUAGGCCAGGGAAAGACUUUCAUAUAUAAAUAUAUAUAAAACAAAUAAAAGUCCCGUUUGCUAUGUUUUGAAGUAAACAAACAAAAUGCUGACCUAGUUUUUCAUUAAUUUUAAAUUGUUUGACAUUAAUGAGAUUUAUUUUACGCGCACUUAGUCAUUAGCUCGGCUGAAUUGUUUUUAUAAGUACAAUAAUAAACUGAAGGGAAAUUUAUAUUAUCUGAGUUUGACUGAAUGAGUAAAUUUGAUGUUUGGAAUGAUAAA